UCUUCCACUAUAUCUGGAUAAGUUGUUUCCUAUUGUUGCUGUCAUUCCGUCGACUGUUGAUAAUCCCUCAAGCAGCUUGCUCUAGACAUGGUUGGUUGCGGGUGCUUAUUGUGUAUGGCUUGUGCACAUUUUGAUGAUCAUUUGCUACCCGAUUGCUUACCCUGUUGAAAAGCCUAUGAAAUUGAUCAAACGGAAGACAUGACAAUGCUGAGUUGGUUCAAAAAAGGAAAGAAUGAGGACAGAGAUUACUGCUGCCCCAUUUGCUUUGAUGACUUCCACAUUCUAUGUUGGACUAACUGUCGCCAUUGGUUUU